rnacentral:rRNA from 1 species
AUGCUGUCAGCAGCCAAAAAGAGUUUAUGCAUCGAGGAUGCAUCGUCCCCGGCGCCCGGGAUGGCUGGCUUUUCGACAACCACCUGUGUUCUCUUCAUCAUUUUCUUCUACCUCCCAGCUCCUGCUGUCUCCCUGUCCUUCAACUACUCCACUUUCAGCUCGGCAGACCAGAACGACAUCAAGAUCGAAGGCGACGCAUCCUUCAGCGUCGGAUGGAUCGACAUCAGCGCCAACAGGUUCGGUAAUAUCGACUACAGCAAUGGCCGGGCGUCGUACAACGCCAGGCCGAUGCUGCUCUGGGACAAGGCGACAGGCGAGGUGGCCAGCUUCACCACGCGGUUCUCGUUCGCCAUCUCCGGCGACAUCAACAGCAAGGGGCAAGGGAUGGCCUUCUUCCUUGCCGCCUACCCAUCUAGCCUCCCUGCCCGCUGCAUCGAUUACAACCUCGCCCUCACCAACCAGAGCGCGGACGCCGUGGCGUCCGGGGACAGCCGGUUCGUGGCGGUGGAGUUCGACACAUACAACAAUACGGUGGUGUCCGACCCCCGUGAGACCUACGACCACAUAGGCAUCGAUAUCAGCUCCCUCCGGUCGGUGAGCACGCUGACCCUGCCGAGCUUCGAGCUCACGGACAACCUGACUGUCAUGAUCGAGUACGACAAUGUUAGCAGCAUCUUGGCGGUGACUGUAUGGGUCGAUGAUGAUAGAUCCGGCCAAGCAAGGGACAGGAAUUACAGCCUUAGAUCCAAGGUUGACCUCAAGAGUGCACUGCCGGAGCAGGUCUCUGUUGGCUUCUCCGCGUCCACAUCCAAUGCCAUCGAACUGCAUCAGCUACGCUCUUGGUCCUUCAGCUCUUCGUUGGAACCGCCGCCGCCGCCGCCACCACCACCAGUAGCAACAUCCUCCCCGUCAAGGCCGGGCCCUGGAGUUAUAGCUGGGGCAGCUGCUGGCGCAACAUUGUUCCUCGUGCUCCUCUUUGCUGCCACAGCAGCACUCGUAGUGCGGCGCCGCCAUCGCCAGAAAAUCGUGGAGACGGAGGAGCACUACACAGACUCGGAAGGCGAAGGUGACCCGAUGAUGGAGAUCGAGAUGGGGACGGGGCCAAGGCGAUUUCCGUACCAAGAGCUUGUGGAAGCGACCAGGAACUUCGCCGCGGAGGAGAAGCUUGGGCAAGGUGGCUUUGGUGCGGUUUACCGAGGCUACCUGAGAGAGCCAUCUGGGCUUGCCGUGGCCAUCAAGAGGUUCUCCAAGCAUGAGUCCUCCCUGCAAGGAAGGAGGGAAUACAAGUCGGAGAUCAAGGUGAUAAGCAGGCUGCGCCACCAGAACCUGGUGCAGCUCCUCGGCUGGUGCCAUGGCCGUGAGGAGCUCCUGCUGGUCUAUGAGCUCAUGCCCAACCGCAGCCUUGACAUCCAUCUCCAUGGCAAGCACGGUACCUUCUUGACAUGGCCGAUGAGGAUGAAGAUAUUGCUGGAGCUUGGAUCCGCGCUGCUCUACCUCCACGAGGAGUGGGAGCAGUGCGUGCUGCACCGGGACAUCAAGCCCAGCAACGUGAUGCUGGAUGAGUCCUUCGGAGCCAAGCUCGGGGACUUUGGGCUCGCGAGGCUUGUCGACCACGCCGCUGGGACGCAGACGAUGACUGCAGUCUCAGGGACACCGGGCUACUUAGACCCCCAGUGCAUCGUCACCGGCAGGGCCAGCACCGAGUCCGACAUGUACAGCUUCGGCAUGGUGCUGCUGGAGGUGGCGUGCGGCAGGAAGCCGAUGAGCAUGAUCCCGUCAGACGAGGACUAG